rnacentral:rRNA from 1 species
AUGUGCUUUCUGAACUCUGUGUGGGCUGUUCGUCGUCCUGGAGAGCUCCUCACUUCUCCAGACAACCUCACUGUUCAUGAGGUCAAGCUCCUUAAGAAGAAGAAGCAUGCCGAGCCUCGCUUCCCUGAACAUGCUCCUGAAGAUGUCGAUGCUAUUUCUGACGAUGAGGACUUUGAGCUGGAGCCAGGGGCCAAGCCUUCGUGGGUGGCCAAACUUACUGCCAAGGUAAAUAAGACCUUUUGUCUCCAGGCUGACAUCCAGAAGAAGAUGUAUGAGGCACAUGUCAUUGAGAAGCUCGCACGACGUCGCCAAAUUACAAUGAUGAAGCACCUCAACAUGCAGGUUCAGAGUGGCUCUGAGAAGAGCAUCACCCCAGAGGAGCGUUGGAUCUCUACCCAUAACACCUGGACUGAUGAUGAAGCCCCUCCCCAGCCAUCAUCGUUUGCAGCAGCUGACAAUGCCAUGGAAGUAUCUGAUCACGACGACGAUGAUGACUCUGAUGAUGAAGAUCCAGAUGCGACUGAGGAGUCAGAGGAGGACGCCUGA